rnacentral:rRNA from 1 species
UACGUAGGGUGCAAGCGUUGUCCGGAUUUAUUGGGUUUAAAGGGUGCGUAGGUGGCUUAAUAAGUCUUGGGUGAAAGACAGCGGCUCAACCGUUGGUUUGCCUGAGAUACUGUUGAGCUUGAGUAAGGUUGAGGUAAGCGGAAUUUGUGAUGUAGCGGUGAAAUGCAUAGAUAUCACAAGGAACUCCAAUUGCGAAGGCAGCUUACGAAGCCUUUAAUGACAUUGAGGCACGAAAGCGUGGGGAGCAAACAGG